rnacentral:misc_RNA from 1 species
AAACAAGCUUAUAAUCAACCCAUUUGUUUAAUAAUUAGAAGAUUAGAAUCCAUAAAGAAAACCUAAAAUAGAAUCAAGGAACAAAACCUAGAGCAGAAGCCAUGAACCCGUGAACCAAAGAACCACGAAUCGCUUAAGUCACUUAAGGGAUGCUAGAAGCUAUGAACCCAUGAACCAAGAAUUACAAAUCACAAAAGGCAGAACAAAAUCACAAAACCAAUGAACCCAUCUAUUUUCUAAGUAACCAAACAGAAAAUUACAAUAAAAGAAACCAAACGCAUUUGUUUCGUCUUCCAAUAGCCCUCCAUCCCUUUCUCCUUCUCUGUGUUCGCGGCUAGUAGGACUAGUGGACAUAUAAUCCCUGCUGUGGCCAUAGCUGAUGAGUUCAAAAUCGCAGACCCCAACAAACAAUUCCUCUUUAUAGGAACCCAAUGGAGGUCUAACUGUAGAUGUCCACCAUAUCACCAAUCUAAUCCUUCUUCGAAACUGCCGCGACUGGUUUGUGUGGAUAGCGACGCCAGGUUGUUGAUGUGUAGUCUAAGGAAGAGCUGCGAGGCUCAAUACUGAAGGAAGUGAGCUAGGUCUGGUGUUGCGUGAAUAUGUUAAAAGAGAGGAGAAAUAGGUUUGCGAGGAAGCUUUCUUCAAGUGGGUAUGAGGAAAUGGGCUUCGAAGAUGAAGGGAUUCAUGUGAGCUCCCUUGUGGAUGAACUGUGUUUAUUGUUGCAAGAAAUAAUUUAUUAUUUACAAACCCAGAAAGAAUUGACGAUGGAUGAACGGGAAUGAGAGGAGAAAUUGGGUUCUUUCAACGGAAUAUAUGGACGGAAGGGCCUUUAUUUUAACAGAAUGAUACUACAGGGGCAAAACCAUUAAGUUUUAAAAAUAGAAGAACGAAAGUGUUAAUUAUGACAUAAUUUAGGUAUUAAAAAUAAUUUACCCAUGAAACAAUUUGGCAAUGGUAGUUCCGUCAUUAGCUGGUGUAUAUAAAUUUGAGCGCCUGUAUGUGCGAGUUUUAUGUAUAGAAACCCCUACAAAGGCCAGGAAUCUAACAAAAGGAACUCCAGUCUUCAAAUCGAUUUGCAGCGCGAGGUAAGAAACCCAUUUCUCUUCAAAGCCUUAACCUCCUUCUAUUCUUUAUCACUAUAAACCCUAAUUGCCCACACUUUGUUUUUGCUUUCUCCUACUCAAUAUCCGAAUCUGAAAUCAUGAUACCAUUAAGGUUUCGAUUCUAGUACCUAAGCUUCCUGCUAUUUAUCUUGAUUCACUGAAAUAGAGAUCUUAUGGUUUGAUUCUCGAAGUUUGGUCCCAGUCAGAUGAUCUAAUGCUUUAAAUUUAGCAGUUUUGGGGGACUGUUUUGAUCUGGGUCUCGUGAAAUUGGUGCAUUAUGAGUUGGAUUAUGUAUUUUCUGAUGAAAUUCUAGUUUUUUAAGAAAACCCAUAUUGUUUGAGCUGAAUGGAGCUCUAAUGCAGACGUUUGUGGUGGAAAAGUUGCAAUGGUAUUUUCUGUAUUGAGAGUUCAGAUAAGUCAGCUUCAAUUAAAACGAGGAUUUUGAGCAUUUUGUAGGGAAGAGGUCAAAGGGUUGUUACAGAUGGGAAAGCCAUUGUUUUAUGAGAUCUUGGAAAAACCAGCUACUAGUUGUAUAAUAGGGAUAUGCAGUGCCAUAUGGUUUUAUAUACAGAAGAAAAACAUUGGGUACUCACAUGUGGGCUUAAGUUAUGAAACUGCCAUUGAAGGGCACCAUUGGAGGAUAAUUACUUCAGCUUUUUCACAUAUUAGUGUUCUACAUCUUGUUUUCAAUAUGAGUGCAUUGUGGAGUCUUGGUGUAGUAGAACAGUUGGGGCACAUGGGCCUUGGUGUGGCAUAUUAUCUUCAAUACACACUUGUGCUAGUCGUCUUGUCUGGGUUAUUAGUAUUGGGAAUGUACCAUAUAUUGAUACAAAGAUUCAAGGUAGAUUACUUUCGUAGAGUGACAGCUGUUGGUUAUUCUUGUGUUGUUUUUGGGUGGAUGACAAUUCUUUCCGUAAAGCAACCCUCCUCAAAGUUGGAUCUUUUUGGAUUUCUUUCGCUACCCAUCAGCUUUGCACCUUUUGAGUCGUUAAUUUUUACGUCAAUUAUUGUUCCACAAGCAAGUUUUCUUGGUCAUUUAUCAGGAAUUAUUGUUGGGUAUAGUAUUGCAUGGGGUUUGAUUCAUGGGAUGAACAAUUUCUGGGCAAUCUCAAUGUUGGGAUGGAUUGUCGUCAUUUUUAUGUUCAGUUUGAAGCGAUCUGGUGCAUAUGAUUUUAACUUUCUUGAGAUUGAAUCUGUUACGGAUCCUUCAUUGCCUUCUGUACGAUUUCUUGGGAAUGGUAGAACCUUGCAGAUGAGUGCAUUACCACUUGAAGGUGUUGAAGUUGUUUAAACUCUGGUAAUGAUCUUAUUUCUUAGAAUUGUCUUGACUUCAUGAAGUUCCUUCCCAUAGGAUGUAUGUUGUUGACCUGAGUGGUUUGCUAGGUUAUCAGUUCUCACCCCCCCUAUGGUUUGUCUGUUGUAGUGCAGAUUCUUCAUUAAUUCCCUUUUCAGAUUCCUUGGUCUUUUUGAUCUCAUUGUUUUGAUUUUGAAUAGCUGGCAUAUUGUUCAAACAAAUUUCCAGAAAUAAUAUAAAUGAAUAUAAGAUACACUUGCCCUGUGUGAAUUUUCUAGAUAAAUAAGGGGACUAUACUAUAGUAUUGAAAGUUUGCAUGACUGCAUACACUCUCACACACUUACCCGCAAACACAGAUAUAAAAGACAUGCUUUCUGCACUCAAGUCAUCUUAUAUGCUACUUGUAGCUAUACUUUCCCAUUCACAGUACAGGUUGAGGAUAUUGUUAGAUCAAUAUAUGAUUCAUCAUUAUGAUUACUGAGUGAGUCAUAAGGCACUGAGUUUUUUCCCCUCAUUUAUUCUAGUUCCUUGAAGAGAUGGUUAGAAAAUGCGCUCAGUGUUUAAAAUAUACACUGCACUAGAUGUUACACGCACAAGUAUAUGUGUUCUAUGCUAGAUUUUACUGUAUUGUUGUUAAAUUCUCUCUCCCUCUUCCCUCUCCACCCCCCUCCCCUUAAAUUAUUGUUAUUCAACAA